UACGUAGGGUGCGAGCGUUAAUCGGAAUUACUGGGCGUAAAGCGUGCGCAGGCGGUUUGCUAAGACAGGUGUGAAAUCCCCGGGCUUAACCUGGGAACUGCGCUUGUAACUGGCAAGCUAGAGUGUGGCAGAGGGGGGUGGAAUUCCAAGUGUAGCAGUGAAAUGCGUAGAUAUUUGGAGGAACACCGAUGGCGAAGGCAGCCCCCUGGGCUAACACUGACGCUCAUGCACGAAAGCGUGGGGAGCAAACAGG
rnacentral:rRNA from 1 species